rnacentral:rRNA from 1 species
CACGUAGGAGGCGAGCGUUGUCCGGAAUCAUUGGGCGUAAAGAGCGCGCAGGCGGCUUGGCAAGUCGGGUGUGAAAUCCCGGGGCUCAACCCCGUGACUGCAUCCGAUACUGUCAGGCUAGAGGUAGGUAGGGGAGAUCGGAAUUCCUGGUGUAGCGGUGAAAUGCGCAGAUAUCAGGAGGAACACCGGUGGCGAAGGCGGGUCUCUGGGCAGUAACUGACGCUGAGGAGCGAAAGCGUGGGGAGCGAACAGG